UACGGGGGGGACGAGUGUUACUCAUAGUGACUGGGCGUAAAGGGUACGUAGGCGGCACUUUUAAAUUUCAAUGGAAGGUCCGAUGGACGCAACCGUGGUAAUUUGUAACACUGUAGUGCUUGAGUUUGGCAGAGGUUGGCGGUACUCUUGGGGUAGGAUUGAAAACCGCAAACCCAAGGGGACCACAAUGGCGGAGGCAGCUA
rnacentral:rRNA from 1 species